CUUUGCUGACGAGCGGCGGACGGGUGAGUAAUACUUGGGAAUUUGCCUUUAGGCGGGGGACAACCACUGGAAACGGUGGCUAAUACCGCAUAAUGUCUACGGACCAAAGUGGGGGACCUUCGGGCCUCACACCUAAAGAUGAGCCCAAGUGGGAUUAGCUAGUUGGUGAGGUAAAGGCUCACCAAGGCGACGAUCCCUAGCUGUUCUGAGAGGAUGAUCAGCCACACUGGGACUGAGACACGGCCCAGACUCCUACGGGAGGCAGCAGUGGGGAAUAUUGCACAAUGGGCGCAAGCCUGAUGCAGCCAUGCCGCGUGUGUGAAGAAGGCCUUCGGGUUGUAAAGCACUU
rnacentral:rRNA from 1 species